rfam:Clostridiales bacterium GWD2_32_59 gwd2_scaffold_3802, whole genome shotgun sequence.
CAAGAGUAAUGAAGCGAGAGGUUGCCACCGAAGGUGGGUUUUCACGCAGAACGAUGUCCAGUUCACGAAACGGACGACAA